AUCCUGCCGUCCUUGGACCAGAGGAUAUUCGGCGGUGGCUCAGCCUGCACGAUGCAUUCGAAUCUCGCCGUCUGACCGCUCACCACUGCGAUGUCUCUCAAGGGCUGUGAUCGGGCAACGAAAAACGACGGGCGUAAAGGCAAAAAGCAUGAUAUGAAAUUUUGCGAAUGAACGUGACGGUGGAUAUCGAGACUUGUUAAAGUUAAUCUGGUUACUGAUCCCGAUCGUGGCGUGUCUACCUGCUGAGUCUACGUUACUCGGUGGUCCAGCGCUGAGACUGCUCUGAUGAGGCGAUAAGCUCGGAAGACUCGGGCUCAACGACACCGGGCUGGGAGUCGCAUUUUCGCCGAGCCAUCUCGUCGAUUGCG